AGGUCCACAAUUUGAACUGGGAAUUCUAAGGGGUUGACCAUCUCUACCAAGUGAGAUGGUCUCUAUAUGUUGGCUGGUUAGAGCACUGUCUUAGAACUGGGAAAGCCAGGUCCAAUGACUGAUCAAACCACCUUACCAGUAAGACACCUAACGAUAUAUGUCUGCCUACCUCAAAUCCAGGCUGUAAUGUGUCAGAAUCAGCAUGUGUCAAAUUUAAAACUUGUUUUCCUUAAGAAACCAAAGAAAAUGAGUGUGUGUUAAAAAACAUCACUUUGUUAAAUAGAGAGAUAACUAAUUGACUUCAAAAAAGGUAUUAUAAUGAAUCAGCACUACUUGCUAAAAAUUUACCACUGUCAAAACUUAUCAGCCAAUUAUCUGUAAUAAUUUCACAGGUAAAAAAAAAAAAAUUCUCAAUUUGAAGUACUGUAGUUUGUCUGACAACUUUGAUCACAUAAUUAUUUUAUUCAUUUUUAAUGAGGCAGCCAGUGAAUGGCGGUAGAGUGAUAGAGAGACAAAGAGAGAUAGUAAGUUACCCUCUUCAAUUCUGUAUGUCUGAACAUUAUGACAAUUUUAGCAAUAAUUACCGAAACCUCUGCCCAGUAUAAUUUCACCAGAUGUAACAUAUACACAUUUUGCAUGUCUCUUUUCUAACAAGUCUCAGUAAAAUGUUGGCUUUUGAUGAACCACGAUCCUUUAAAAUUUGAAACGGAUUGUGGCCUUAACAUGAUGCAUGUAAUGAAAUAGAUCUUCCAUUCCGAUGUACUUAAUGAUCUUCUUUCUUGGUAAGCCAUUGCUUUACUGCUAAGCAUCUAUGACAGAACGAGUUUCCAUAGAACCUAGGUAUCAUCUUAUAACAU